UCGGGUUGUAAAGCACUUUUGUCCGGAAAGAAAACUUCUGCAUUAAUACUGCGGGAGGAUGACGGUACCGGAAGAAUAAGCACCGGCUAACUACGUGCCAGCAGCGCGGUAAUCGUAGGGUGCGAGCGUUAAUCGGAAUUACUGGGCGUAAAGCGUGCGCAGGCGGUUCGUUAAGACAGAUGUGAAAUCCCCGGGCUUAACCUGGGAACUGCAUUUGUGACUGGCGAGCUAGAGUAUGGCAGAGGGGGGUAGAAUUCCACGUGUAGCAGUGAAAUGCGUAGAGAUGUGGAGGAAUACCGAUGGCGAAGGCAGCCCCCUGGGCCAAUACUGACGCUCAUGCACGAAAGCGUGGGGAGCAAACAGGAUUAGAUACCCUGGUAGUCCACGCCCUAAACGAUGUCAACUAGUUGUUGGGGAUUCAUUUCCUUAGUAACGUAGCUAACGCGUGAAGUUGACCGCCUGGGGUGUACGGUCGCAAGAUUAAAACUCAAAGGAAUUGACGGGGACCCGCACAAGCGGUGGAUGAUGUGGAUUAAUUCGAUGCAACGCGAAAAACCUUACCUACCCUUGACAUGGUCGGAACCCUGCUG
rnacentral:rRNA from 1 species